GACGAACGCUGGCGGCGUGCUUAACACAUGCAAGUCGAACGAAGUGGCGAACGGGUGAGUAACGCGUAAUCAACCUGCCCUUCAGAGGGGGUCAACAGUUGGAAACGACUGCUAAUACCGCAUACUGAAGGAGGGGAUGGCGUCUGAUUAGCUCGUUGGAGGGGUAAUGGCCCACAAAGGCGAUGAUCAGUCGCCGGGCUGAGAGGAUGAACGGCCACAUUGGGACUGAGACACGGCCCAGAAUCCUACGGGAGGCAGCAGGUGGGAAUCUUCCGAAAUGGACGAAAGUCUGACGGAGCAACGGCGCGUGAGUGAUGACGGCCUUCGGGUUGGAAAGCUCUGUUAAUCGGGACGCGGUACCGGAAUAGAAAGCCACGGCUAACUACGUGCCAGCCGCCGCGGUAAUUC
rnacentral:rRNA from 1 species